GGGAACUAGAGUUUGUUCUACAGGCAAUCUCUCUUUAUUGCUGUAAUGGGAACAUUGCACUGAGAAUAUAGAGCCAGAUCCAAAAUGCUUCUGAAGGAAGAAGACAUCCUCUUUGUUGGUUUGAGCAGACUUUGGAUCUGGCUUGUUAUUAACAACCUCAGAAGUUGAACACAUUAGCAAAGUACUAAUCCUAAUUCUAGAUUGUCAUCUGAUUCCUGUGGUUUUCCUAGUUUUCAUCUUUAUCAUCAAAACGUCAAACAUGCUCCUCUUCAGUCACUCUGUAACUGUGAUAGCCAAGGGAUGGUGUCUUUUUAACCAAAAAUAGCAAACAGAUUGGUUUUGAUACAUCAUUGGAGCUGGAAUAAUUCAUCAAAGAGUGAACCUGUUGGCCUCAAACAGUAAGUAUUCUGCGUGAUUUGGUGACC
rnacentral:lncRNA from 1 species